GACGAACGCUGGCGGCGUGCUUAACACAUGCAAGUCGAACGGAAAGGCCCUGCUUUUGUGGGGUGCUCGAGUGGCGAACGGGUGAGUAACACGUGAGUAACCUGCCCUUGACUUUGGGAUAACUUCAGGAAACUGGGGCUAAUACCGGAUAGGAGCUCCUGCUGCAUGGUGGGGGUUGGAAAGUUUCGGCGGUUGGGGAUGGACUCGCGGCUUAUCAGCUUGUUGGUGGGGUAGUGGCUUACCAAGGCUUUGACGGGUAGCCGGCCUGAGAGGGUGACCGGCCACAUUGGGACUGAGAUACGGCCCAGACUCCUACGGGAGGCAGAAGUGGGGAGUAUUGCACAAUGGGCGGAAGCCUGAUGCAGCAACGCCGCGUGCGGGAUGACGGCCUUCGGGUUGUAAACCGAUUUCGCCUGUGACGAAGCGUGAGUGACGGUAAUGGGUAAAGAAGCACCGGCUAACUACGUG
rnacentral:rRNA from 1 species